AAGUCUCUUGGCUUCUUCUUCAUCAUAUCCUUUGGAUGCCAUUGCAUUUACCAUUUUGUGGGUGCACCCAUCACAUGCUUUUCAAGGAGGUCUAAUUAUGUCAUCAUCUUAGUCAUAUUUUUCUCCCUUUUUUUUCUUUCUUUCUUUGCUCCUUAUACGCAUAGGAGGUGGUAGGGGAACCUUUAGCUACCUUGGUGUCCUGGGUAUGCCACCCUCUAUUUUUCUUUAUGAUUUACUUAAGAAAAGUUGAAUCCACUCCAUAUGACAACCUCAUAAUUGAUCCACCGGCUGCGUUGUCCAC
rnacentral:lncRNA from 1 species